AUACGUAGGGGGCGAGCGUUGUCCGGAAUUACUGGGCGUAAAGGGUGCGUAGGCGGCAUAUCAAGUCAGAUGUGAAAUACCACGGCUCAACUGUGGGGUUGCAUUUGAAACUGGUAUGCUUGAGUGCAGGAGAGGGAAGUGGAAUUUCUAGUGUAGCGGUGAAAUGCGUAGAGAUUAGGAAGAACACCAGUGGCGAAGGCGGCUUCCUGGACUGUAACUGACGCUGAGGCACGAAAGCGUGGGUAGCGAACAGGAUUAGAUACCCUGGUAGUCCACGCCGUAAACGAUGGAUACUAGGUGUAGGGGGUAUCGACCCCCUCUGUGCCGGAGUUAAUACAAUAAGUAAUCCACCUGGGGAGUACGGCCGCAAGGUUGAA
rnacentral:rRNA from 1 species